rnacentral:rRNA from 1 species
AUGCUAAAAUUUUAUGACAUAUUCGGCCAUCUGGCGAAUGUUCUAAGAAAAGAUAGUGUUUCGGACUUCCUCAACCUCUUCAAAAAGUAUAGGGGGCACUUGGUUGCUGGAUAUGUCGUCACCCCACAAACCCUUGACCUGAUUAUUACAGAGAAUGCCCUGCGCUGUGCUAAGUUUGUUUUGGAGGGGAAGGAGCCUAAGCUCCGUGGGAUGUGCGCCAACCCCAACUACAUGACCAGCCUCGGGUACUUCCCCCUCCACCGAACUGCCCAGACAUUCUCCGCCGACAUGGUUAAGAUACUACUCCGCCAUGGUGCAUUGGCUAAUCUACGCACCUCAGGUGAAAGAAUCAUCGAGGGCCUCCUGCCACUCCAUGUUGCCAUCGAGGACACUUGCCAGCAUAAGUAUCUGGAGGAUAAUCUAUUAGCUGACGAGAGCUACAGGAAGGGGUAUGUCGAGUACAUCUACAAGCUCAUACAUCUGCUUUGCCUGCCUGAGAUGAAGAUCUUCUUGGACACCAUUAGAUUGCUUGCAGCUCACACGGAUAAUGUUGCUGCUGAGCUCUGGAAUUACAUCGAGCAUGGGAAGAUUGUCCCUGCAGCUAUUCUUCUCCUUGCAGCUCAAAGGCGAUUCCGUAAGCUCAAUGGUUUUGAUACGAUCAAGAACCGUAUUGAUGAUUCUAUAUUGUCCAUGAUAAGGGAGGGGUGUGGAUUGCAAAUUGGUAAAUAUACCAAGGCAGCAAAGCAGCGGAAGGAGAAGGAAUUACGUUUCUAUAAUGCAUUAUUCCUUGUUAGGAUACUUCUGAAAUCUGGGGAAGCUCUUGAUGCAUAUAUUCAAACUCAUUCAGAGGUAUCAUAUUUUCGUUACAUUGCAGCUUUAAUGUCUUGUAUAUUUGUUUGCUUCAUUCUAUUGAAUCUUAAUGUUCUCAUAUAUUAA